rnacentral:lncRNA from 1 species
CUUUUGCAUUGCUUAUUAAUCAUAACGAGUGUAAACAAUUGAGGAAGAUUAGCAUCUAAUAUAAUUGCUUCGUGAAUUGGAAAAAACGUUGGCACAAGUGUAUAAUAUCUGAUGGGGAUUACUUUGAAAGGAACAAAGGGGGCUGUGGCAUCAUUAUUGUGUUGUUUUUGACCAAAAAUUCGGGCACAAGCAACGAUGUGUGAGCGGGAGCGUUAUCAUGGUGCAAAAGCC